rnacentral:lncRNA from 1 species
AUGACACCAAGCUGAUUCACAGGCAGUUUUCUUUCUGCACAACAACACGGCUGAAGGACGGCUUGGUGGAGGCAGACUCCGUUUCCUAAGGGCUUAUCCCAAGUUAGAGUUCAGAGGGAAGGGAAUAGAACGCGACUUGUCCACCAAACAAAAUAUGCGUGUUACUACAGUUGUAUGUAGUGGUCAGGCAAAAAGAAAAUCAGAACUUCCAAAGCUGGAGUGUCAGGUGGUUGUGAACUACUCAACCUGGUUCCUGGGAACCAAACUCAGGUCCUCCGCCAAAGGAGCACAUGCACUUAGCCACUGAGUCAUCUCUGAAGUCCCAGAAACCUCUGAAUGCCCAGGUGACAAGACCAAGGCUGAGAGACUAGGAAAGGGCUAAGAAUCUGAGUCACUGGCUGAGCAAACUACAGGUCAAUGGUGGACCUUCUCAAAAGCAAUACAUAAAUGAUCGAGGAACAAAAGCAUCACAUCAUCAACUUUUGCCCUCCACAACUGCCUACAGAGUAUAGAGAUUAAGUUCUUCACAACUCCUCACCUGCCUAGUUGAUCAGCCCAGCCAUUCUUUCCAUUUAUCUUCUGCAAUCAAGAGAAACUCUUCUGGACAAAAAGAUGUCCUCUGCAGAUGGCACCAGUCAAAAGAACCCAGUAAACACCAAACCUUGGUCUGCAGGACAAAACACAACCCUUCCUGAGGGUCAGUUCCUUGGAUGUGACUGGAGUUGCUCCAGAUAUUACAAUUAAAAUAAGGGCAUUCAUUACAUUAUAUUCCCUGUGAAUGUUCAUUAAAGUAAAAGAGGUAGAGGAGGUGAAGGAGGAGGAAGAAGGGGAGGAGGAGGAAGAAGAAGAAGAGGAAGAGGAGAAAGAGAAAGCUGCUGCUGCUGCUGUUGAUGACUACCUGGGCUCUGCGCAGCUUCCCUGGCCACACCCCUUCCCACACACCUGCAGGAAGACCACAGCCGCCACAGAGAAUGGGUCGGUACCAAGGUCAGUUCAUAAUAAAGAGCUUUCCAGAAGCCCCCAUCCCCACCCCAAGCCAACAGGAAUUGGCAAUGAACUUUAAGAAAAGGCUACGCGAGCCAGAAAACAACUUAGGGCUGUUUAAUUUUCCUGACAUGAACGCUGGCCACCCAAGGGGAUAAAGGAAACACCUGUCUCCCGUGGGCAGCGGUUCUGCAGGGCGUGUGGAUAUCCAGAAAGCUGCUGGGAGACUUCUUUCACCCGCCAAGUUAGAGACAAACGAACCUGUGGAAAGAGUGGUUUCGCAGAAGACCAUGGACCCCAGCCUGGGUCUCAGCUCUGCCUCUGACUAGGAAGGGGCCACUAGAAUCAGCAACCCCGCCUCUAAGAAGAACAUAAGCUUUUUGCACAGUAUUCUCUCAGGAGCUUUUAUUGAGACUCAUAAAGGAAGCAACAACACUUGAGAGUGUUGCAAAGUGGAAAAAACAAAACAGAAACAAAAACAACAACAAAAAACACGUGAACAUGACGUUGGGGGAAAGGAUGAAACCAGCCAUCGCAAGCCAGGAGAAUCCUUGGGAAGUGAGGCUCAGCGGCUGAGCAGCCUGAGCACAGAGGUUCAGGGUCAGGGUAGGGUGCCUAGCGAAUUCCCGUAACGCAGGACACUGCCCAAGCCAGCUUCAUAAAAAGUCACUCCGUUGAUUUCAGGCUCAAUGGGAACAUCUCUUGGCUGUUUGCUGAAUUUAGACACUUUAAAAAGUUUUCUUUGACUGAACAAGGGGUUCCUGAGACCAGCUUCCUGAGGGUAUCUUGGUAAACAAGCCUCCCACCACGAAUUUCCUUGCUGUUAUUGUAACUGGUUUUAACUGCACUUGAGUUUGUUUGGUUUGGUCUUUUGUUGUUUUUUUGUUUUUGUUUUUUUUCUUUUUUCCUUUUCAGACAGUUGCACUUAAAAUGUACUAACUUUUCAAUGAGAGAUGUAGGUUUGAGAGAAAAUGUUUGAACUCCCUUGAUGGAUCCUGUUGGUCCUAAGGCAGAUCCCCUUCCCAGACAGUGUCGCUUUGGACGGAAAACACAAAUCCUUGGAGAAGUGAGGUGAUAUGAGGAAGUGGCUUGGCAAGCCAUGGCUGUGCCUUGAUCUGCUGCUAGCCUCCAACCCCAGCUGUACAGGCACUGUGUGAGGUGUUCAGCCAUGCCUUAGCCGUAGUAAGCAUCCUGGGUUAAUGAGGUAAUGUUCAUAUGAUUUGUGAGGUCACCUGAUAGAGGGAAAAGACACAUGGUCCUCCAUUUUGUAAUUUGGGGAGUGGGGAAGAUGGCAGGCUAGUGAAAUUCAGGAGUCAAGAAACAUGAUGUGACCAGUUACAUAUCACAAAAAAAGAAGGAUAAGAAGGAAGAGGAGGAAGAAGAAGAGAAAAGGAAAAGAAGAAAAAGAAAAGAUGAUGGGAAUAGCAGACUCCCAGGUCUUUAGAAAUGGUUUCAUCAUCUUUGGGAAGUACAGAUUGUGGUCGCAGACCCCAGAUAUUUCACACCAACAAAAGCCAUCUGUCUGCUGCAUCUACAAACCAACCUCUACUUCCUGCCUUUGGUAUAGGCUAUCAGCUCUUUAAUAAGCCAAUCAGAAUGUUAGAGAGGGAGUGUUUACAAGAUGUAGCCAUAUGAAUAAUAAUACCAAAGUCCAGUCUACACUCAACUCUGCAGGCAUAGAAACCAGCAUUUGAAUAAUACGAAGACAACAUUUACUCUGUGCUUAAUAAUAUUAUCCCAACAUGUGGGUGGGGCUUUGUGAUGAAGUAAUGACAGAAGGAGGCUCACAUGUGGGCAGUGGGCUAGUUUCUGAUAGUGAAAGGGCAGGAAACACAGGGAAGGACAGGAGGAGGUUCUCAAGGAAUGACAGACAGAGUAAGGUAAGGUUGAAUUUAAACUUGGGUUUUCAAAGAGCUUUCAGGAAAUCUAAGUAGAAAAAAACUUGAAUACGUUGGCCUAAUGCAAGAUCUUUUGACCUACCAUUUUACAUGGGAAAUCUUUAUAUGAACCCAGCUAUAUCAGUAAAUACAAUAAGCCUAUAAGUCAAACAUUUACUAAAAAUAAGUUUUAUAAGGAUGUUUUAAAAAUCUUUGGUAUAUGUAUGUGUGUGUGUGUGUGUGUGUGUGUGUGUAAUGUUAGCAUUUACUAAGGAUGAAAUAAUUUUUAUAGUGCAGAGAUGAAUUGCUUAUUUUUACAUACAGAAUUAAACUUUCUCUGAAUAUUUGAUACUGCAGGACAUAGUAGUCUUCAGUGAUUUUCAAAA